GACGUAGGUGGCAAGCGUUGUCCGGAGUUAUUGGGCGUAAGCGCGCGCAGGCGGUUCGCUAAGUCCAUGGUGAAAGCGCUCGGCUUAACUGAGCGGGUGCCGUGGGGACUGGCGGACUGGAGGGGAGCAGAGGCGAGUGGAAUUCCGGGUGUAGUGGUGAAAUGCGUAGAGAUCCGGAGGAACACCAGUGGCGAAGGCGGCUCGCUGGGCUUUACCUGACGCUGAGGCGCGAAAGCGUGGGGAGCGAACCGG
rnacentral:rRNA from 1 species